rnacentral:tmRNA from 1 species
GGGGGUGACUGGCUUCGACGGAUUCUCUGAAGGAAGGUUGCAAGCGGAGCAUCUCGCGAUCUCCUUAAACUUGCGGGAAAAAACAACAACUGCGAACAAUUACGCAUUUGCUACGCCGUCCCUAAACUAGGGAUAGCCGCCCGAUAAGACUACCUCGCGAGUCUUGUCCUGGCGUCGACAAAGCGGGUAUAUCGCGGUAAAAGGCUUCCGACGCCGCGAAGAACUCUAGGAAGAUCGAUUCGCAUAACCUAGUCCACAAGGGUGUGCGCUUCAAAACUAAAAUGUGGAACUAAGCUUGUAGACGCUGACCCAAGGGGUUUUCGGACGCGGGUUCGACUCCCGCCACCUCCACCA